AUUAUAAUAGUUUAACCAAAAACAUUUCAUUUUCAUUGAAAAAAUAUUUAAUAUAAAAUUUAUAAU
rnacentral:tRNA from 1 species